rnacentral:rRNA from 1 species
GAUGAACGCUGGCGGCGUGCCUAAUACAUGCAAGUCGAGCGAAGCGGGGACGGGUGAGUAACACGUGGAUAACCUCCUAUAAGACUGGGAUAACUUCGGGAACCCGGACCUAAACCGGAUACUUAUCGAUGGAUCCGCGCUGCAUUGGCUAGUUGGUAAGGUCACGGCUUACCAAGGCAACGAUGCAUAGCCGACCUGAGAGGGUGAUCGGCAACACUGGAACUGAGACACGGUCCAGACUCCUACGGGAGGCAGCAGUAGGGAAUCUUCCGCAAUGGGCGAAAGCCUGACGGAGCAACGCCGCGUGAGUGAUGAAGGUCUUCGGAUCGUAAAGCGCUGUAAGUAGGGAGGCGGUACCUAAUGAGAAAGCCACGGCUAACUACGUGCCAGCAGCCGCGGUAAUAC